rnacentral:tRNA from 1 species
GUCCUCGUAGUAUAAAUAAUACCCUGGUCUUGUAAACCAGAAAUGGAAAUAACCCUCCCUAGGACA